CCUACGGGAGGCAGCAGUGAGGAAUAUUGGUCAAUGGGCGCGAGCCUGAACCAGCCAAGUCGCGUGAGGGAGGACGGCCCUACAGGUUGUAAACCUCUUUUGCCGGGGAGCAACGGGCGUCACGUGUGGCGCCACUGAGAGUACCCGGAGAAAAAGCAUCGGCUAACACCGUGCCAGCAGCCGCGGUAAUACGGAGGAUGCGAGGGUUAUCCGGAUUUAUGGGGGUUAAAGGGUGCGUGGGCGGAGCGUUAAGUCAGUGGGCAAAGUGCGGGGCUCAACCCCUGCCCGCCAUUGAAACUGGCACUCUUGAGUGGAAGAGAAGUAUGCGGAAUGCGUGGUGUAGCGGUGAAAUGCAUAGAUAUCACGCAGAACCCCGGUUGCGAAGGCAGCAUGCCGGCUUCCGACUGACGCUGAGGCACGAAAGCGUGGGGAUCGAACAGGAUUAGAUACCCGAGUAGUC
rnacentral:rRNA from 1 species